UGGGGAAUAUUGCACAAUGGGCGCAAGCCUGAUGCAGCCAUGCCGCGUGUAUGAAGAAGGCCUUCGGGUUGUAAAGUACUUUCAGCGGGGAGGAAGGGAGUAAAGUUAAUACCUUUGCUCAUUGACGUUACCCGCAGAAGAAGCACCGGCUAACUCCGUGCCAGCAGCCGCGGUAAUACGGAGGGUGCAAGCGUUAAUCGGAAUUACUGGGCGUAAAGCGCACGCAGGCGGUUUGUUAAGUCAGAUGUGAAAUCCCCGGGCUCAACCUGGGAACGGAAUCUGAUACUGGCAAGCUUGAGUCUCGUAGAGGGGGGUAGAAUUCCAGGUGUAGCGGUGAAAUGCGUAGAGAUCUGGAGGAAUACCGAUGGCGAAGGCGGCCCCCUGGACAAAGACUGACGCUCAGGUGCGAAAGCGUGGGGAGCAAGCAAG
rnacentral:rRNA from 1 species